rnacentral:rRNA from 1 species
CGUAGGCGCAAGCGUUAUCCGGAAUUAUUGGCGUAAGAGCUUGUAGGCGGUUCGUCGCGUCUGGUGUGAAAGCCCAUCGCUUAACGGUGGGUCUGCGCCGGUACGGCGGCUAGAGUGCAGUAGGGAGACUGGAAUUCCCGGUGUAACGGUGGAAUGUGUAGAUAUCGGGAAGAACACCAAUGGCGAAGGCAGGUCUCUGGGCUGUUACUGACGCUGAGAAGCGAAAGCGUGGGAGCGAACAGGAUU